rfam:Triticum urartu cultivar G1812 contig938067, whole genome shotgun sequence.
CAUCUAUACCCUCCGUCCCAAAAUUCUUGUCUUGUAUUUGUUUAGAUACGGAUGUACCUAAUACUAAAACAUGACUUGAUACAUCCGUAUUUAGACAAAUGUAAGACAAGAAUUUUAGGAAGGAGGAAGUACAUC